AGUGAGCGCUGGCGGUAGGCCUAACACAUGCAAGUCGAACGGCAGCACAGUAAGAGCUUGCUCUUACGGGUGGCGAGUGGCGGACGGGUGAGGAAUACAUCGGAAUCUACUUUUUCGUGGGGGAUAACGUAGGGAAACUUACGCUAAUACCGCAUACGACCUACGGGUGAAAGCAGGGGAUCUUCGGACCUUGCGCGAUUGAAUGAGCCGAUGUCGGAUUAGCUAGUUGGCGGGGUAAAGGCCCACCAAGGCGACGAUCCGUAGCUGGUCUGAGAGGAUGAUGCGCCAAACUGGAACUGAGAAACGGUCCAGACUCCUACGGGAGGCAGCAGUGGGGAAUAUUGGACAAUGGGCGCAAGCCUGAUCCAGCCAUACCGCGUGGGUGAAGAAGGCCUUCGGGUUGUAAAGCCCUUUUGUUGGGAAAGAAAAGCAGCAGGUUAAUACCCCGCUGUUCUGACGGUACCCAAAGAAUAAGCACCGGCUAACUUCGU
rnacentral:rRNA from 1 species